AAGUCGUAACAAGGUCUCCGUAGGUGAACCUGCGGAGGGAUCAUUACUGAAUGGCCUCUCGGGGCCUUCAACCCUUCAAACCUGUGGAAGCAAACUCCGUGCUUCGGCGCCUUGUGCGCCGCUUUUAUGCAGAAGGCUUUGUGUCUGAAUCAUAAACAAGAAUUAAAACUUUCAACAAAGGAUCUCUUAGCUCUCGCAUCGAUGAAGAACGCAGCGAAGCGCGAAAUGUAGUGUGAAUCGCAGAACAUUGUGAAUCAUCGAAUCUUUGAACGCACAUUGCGCCUCUCGUAACAGAGAGGCAUGCCUGUCUGAGCGUCAUUUAAACCAUAAACCCGUCAGGGUUUGUCUUGGGUCGGUUCGCCCGCAAGGGCGUGGCCUCGAAGCGAUUGGUCUAACGAGCGGACGAGUUCCAUUAGGACGCACCGUUUUCAAGACUUGAAACACAUCAGACUUGACCUCAGAUCAGGUAGGGACACCGCCUGAACUUAAGCAUAUCAAUAAGGCGAGGAACAGAAACCAACAGGGAUUCCCUCAGUAGUGGCGAAUGAAGCGGGAAAAGCUCAAGUUUGAAAUCCAAGGUUUUCCCUUGGAGUUGUAAGCUGAAGAGGCAUCGACCGACGUGGUCCGGGCCCAAUUUCCUUGGAACAGGAGGUCAUGGAGGGUGAGAACCCCGUCCGUGGCUCGGGUGCCUAGUCUUUGUGUCGUGCCCUCGCAGAGUCGGGUUGUUUGGGAAUGCAGCUCAAAAUGGGUGGUAAAUUUCAUCUAAAGCUAAAUAUUGGCGAGAGACCGAUAGCAAACAAGUAGAGUGAUCGAAAGAUGAAAAGUACUUUGAAAAGAGAGUGAAACAGUACGUGAAAUUGUUGAAAGGGAAGCGUUUGGCAUCAGCCCAUGGCGCCCGUCGAUCACCCGAGCUUCUGUUCGGUGCACUUGACGGGUGUCGGGCCAGCGUCGGCUUCGUCCGUCGGAGAAAGGCAUCGGGAACGUGUCACCCCUCGGGGUGCGUUAUAGCCCUUUGCGUCAUGCGGCGUGACGGGGCCGAGGUCCGCGGUUUAUCCUAGGACGCUGGCGUAAUGGUUCCAAGCGACC
rnacentral:rRNA from 1 species